UACGUAGGGUGCGAGCGUUGUCCGGAAUUAUUGGGCGUAAAGAGCUCGUAGGCGGCUUGUCGCGUCGGUUGUGAAAGCCCGGGGCUUAACUCCGGGUCUGCAGUCGAUACGGGCAAGCUAGAAUUCGGUAGGGGAGACUGGAAUUCCUGGUGUAGCGGUGAAAUGCGCAGAUAUCAGGAGGAACACCGGUGGCGAAGGCGGGUCUCUGGGCCGAUAUUGACGCUGAGGAGCGAAAGCGUGGGGAGCAAACAGG
rnacentral:rRNA from 1 species